GCCGAUGCCUGCCACGGCACCGGCCAUCGCCGUGGCGGCCAUCCGGCGGCCCUCCCCGGCGACCCCUCGCCUAUAAGACCGGCGCCUCUUCCCACGGCGCCUGGAACCCUAAUCCCCAUUCGCCCCUCUCCCUCUCGCACGAGCCGCCGCCCGUGCGUUGCUGUCGUCGCGUCUUCGUCGUCACCGCGCACCGGGGCCUCCCUGAGCUUCACGACGAUGUCCAAGAGCACCGCCUCCCUCCUCUACUUCGACUACAUCUAAGGGAUCGAGCUGGGCGCCUCUUCUUCGCCGGGAUCGAACGCCUCUUCCUCUUCGGCCACCGACGCCUCUCCGUCAAAUACACUACGGCUGCUGCUCCUAAACUCCCAACGGGCCCUCGUGCGCCUACUAGGUGAGCCCCGCCGUGGUUUCCCCUUUGUCUGAUGCUCAAUCUGCUGCUAUUGCUUGCUGUUGCCGGUGGUGUUACUCCGGUCGUCGCGUUUACCUCGUCUCAUCGCGCCCCGCCUUGUUCCUGGCCGGAACCGCCGUCGCGCGCCUGCUCACGCGCGUCCCUACUGGCCGCUGCGCCCGCGAGCCCCUUGCUCGCGCCCACGCGCCCCAGGCUGCGCCCGGCGCCCCAUGUCCGGGCCCCCUUACGCCCGCGUCCGCGCGAGGCCUUGCUACCGCUGUUGGCCAUGGCAAAUGCCAUGGCAGUGGUGUUGUGCAAUGUGUGUGUGUGUAGUGUGUGCGUGCAGUGCGUGUGCGCCUUGAGUGUGGCCAUGCCCACCUUCGGCCUCGCCUCCACUCGCUGUCGUCCGCUCCCGCCUGCUAGCUGUUGCGUUCUGCUGCUGCUCUGCUACAGUAACUGAAUGUUACUGUAGCAGUAGCUAGCUUUGCUGUUUCUACAUUGAGUAGCCCUCUAAACAGCCCCUAAACAUAGACUAAAAAGUUGUUAACAGUACUAAAAAAAUAUGCGAAGGUAGUAUACUUGACAAACUCCAUUUAACCCCACUAGACCAAUUCCUUUUGAUGCAUGGAUUAAAGUCUACGAAAAUCGCAAAAUGCUAUGUUCUGUUAACAGAAUAACUGGAAAACAGCUUUAUUUUCAUAGCUACUUUAGAGCUGUUGUUGAUCAAACAAAUGAACUCUAAUAUGGAUGAAAGUGUUACUAGCAUGUAGAUCCAAGAAAAAAAUGCUCACAAUUGAUUUAAGGCACAAAAUUAUAGGAUGUGCAGAACAAUAGCUUUAGCCUCUAGAAAACAGCUAAGUGAUGUUUAAAAGAACCGACGAAUUCUCAGACUUGGUGAAAUUUCAGGGAUUUUCCGGGUAUUGUUAAAUCUUUAAAAAUUAAUAUAAAAUAAACCGUAGCUCCUAUGGGAAAACUUUGUACAUGAAAGUUGCUCAGAACGACGAGACGAAACCGAAUACGUAGCCCGUUCAUCCGCCACACAUCCCUAGCAUAGCAAACACGCAACUUUUCCCCUCCGGUUCAUCUGUCUGAAAACGUCAAACACCGGGAAUACUUUCCCGGAUGUUUCCCCCCUUCGCCAGUAGCACCUACUACUACGUUAGGUCACCUCUAGCACCUCGUAAUGCCAUGUUACACUUUAUGAUGCUUGAUUGCUCUGUUAUUUAUUGUGUUCCCCCUCCGUUACUUCUUUCCGGUAGACCCCGAGACUGCCGGCGACCCUCAGUUCGACUACGGUGUUGACGACCCUUCCUUCUUGCCAGAGCAACCACGCAAGCCCCCCCUUGAUCACCAGAUAUCGCCUAUUCUACUCUCUACUGCUUGCAUUAGAGAAGUGUAGCAUGUUACUGCUUUCCGUUAGUCCUAUUCUGCUGCAUAGCAUGUCCUUGCUACUAUUGUUGUUAUCCUUACCUGCUAUCCUACUGCUUAGUAUAGGAUGCUAGUGUUCCAUCAGUGGCCCUACACUCUUGUCCGUCUGCCUUGCUAUACUACUGGGCCGUGAUCACUUCGGGAGGUGAUCACGGGCAUAUGCUAUAUACUUGAUACUGUUUCAUUACUUAUGAUACUGUUAGGAGAUGGGGGCUGAAGGGGCAGGUGGCUCCAUCCCGGUAGAGGUGGGCCUGGGUUCCCGACGGCCCCCGAAUGUUACUUUGUGGCGGAGCGACAGGGCAGGUUGAGACCGCCUAGGAGAGAGGUGGGCCUGGCUCUGGUCGGCGUCCGCGGUUACUUCAAUAUAACACGCUUAACGAGUUCUUGGUAUUUGAUCUGAGUCUGGCCAUUUGGUCUAUACGCACUAACCAACUACGCGGGAACAGUUAUGGGCACUCGACGUCGUGGUAUCAGCCGAAGCCUUCUUGACGUCAGCGACCGAGUGGCGCGCGCCGGAUUGGACUGGAACGCCUGCGAGGCUAGGUCUGCUUCCGGCCGCGUUCGCAACGUGCAGGUGUGCAAUGGGCAAUGGGCCUAGACCGCUGCGCCUUAGGAUUUAGACCGGCGUGCUGACCUCUUUGUUGUGCCUAGGUGGGGCUGCGACGUGUUGAUCUUCCGCGGCCGGGCAUGACCUAGAAAAGUGUGUCCGGCCAAAUGGGAUCAAGCGUGUUGGGUUAUGUGGUGCACCCCUGCAGGGAAGUUUAUCUAUUCGAAUAGCCGUGUCCCUCAGUAAAAGGAUGACCCGGAGUUUUACCUUGACCUUAUGACAACUAGAACCAGAUACUUAAUAAAACACACCCUUCCAAGUGCCAGAUACAACCCGGUGAUCGCUCUCUAACAGGGCGACGAGGAGGGGAUCGCCGGGUAGGAUUAUGCUAUGCGAUGCUACUUGGUGAACUUACCAUCUACUCUCUUCUACAUGCUGCAAGAUGGAGGUGGCCAGAAGCGUAGUCUUCGACAGGAUUAGCUAUCCCCCUCUUAUUCUGGCAUUCUGCAGUUCAGUCCACCGAUAUGGCCCUUUACACAUAUACCCAUGCAUAUGUAGUGUAGCUCCUUGCUUGCGAGUACUUUGGAUGAGUACUCACGGUUGCUUUUCUCCCUCUUUUCCCCUUUCUAUACCUGGUUGUUGCAACCAGAUGCUGGAGUCCAGGAGCUAGAGAUCCCGAGGAUGAUUCUACGUGGAGUUCGGCUUCGAGGAGUAGUUAGGAGGUCCCAGGCAGGAGGCCUUGCCUUUUCGAUCGUUGCUACUUUUGUGCUAGCCUUCUUAAGGCAAUCUUGUUUAACUUAUGUCUGUACUUAGAUAUUGUUGCUUCCGCUGACUCGUCUAUGAUCGAGCACUUGUAUUCGAGCCCUCGAGGCCCCUGGCUUGUAUUAUGAUGCUUGUAUGACUUAUUUAUGUUUUAGAGUUGUGUUGUGAUAUCUUCCCG
rnacentral:lncRNA from 1 species